rnacentral:rRNA from 1 species
CAGCCGCCACGGUAAUACGAAGGGGGCUAGCGUUGUUCGGAAUUACUGGGCGUAAAGCGCACGCAGGCGGCUCGAUAAAUUAGAAGUGAAAGCCUUGGGCUUAACCUGAGAAUUGCUUUUAAGACUGUCGAGCUAGAAUCCAGAAGAGGGUAGUGGAAUUCCGAGUGUAGAGGUGAAAUUCGUAGAUAUUCGGAAGAACACCAGUGGCGAAGGCGGCAACCUGGUCCAUGACUGACGCUGAGGCGCGAAAGCGUGGGGAGCAAACAGGAUUAGAUACCCGUGUAGUCCCUGUCUCUUAUAC